GUAAAGCACUUUCAGUAGGGAGGAAGGUAGUGUAGUUAACACCUGCAUUAUUUGACGUUACCUACAGAAGAAGCACCGGCUAACUCCGUGCCAGCAGCCGCGGUAAUACGGAGGGUGCGAGCGUUAAUCGGAAUUACUGGGCGUAAAGCGCAUGCAGGCGGCCUGUUAAGUCAGAUGUGAAAGACCCGGGGCGUUAACCUACGGAAUUGCAUUUGUAAACUGGCAGGCUAGAGUCUUGUAGAGGGGGGUAGGAAUUUCAGGUGUAGCGGUGAAAUGCGUAGAGAUCUGAAGGAAUACCAGUGGCGAAGGCGGCCCCCUCGGACAAAGACUGACGCUCAGAUGCGAAAGCGUGGGGAGCAAACAGGAUUAGAUACCCUGGUAG
rnacentral:rRNA from 1 species